GCGGCCUAUCAGCUUGUUGGUGGGGGNAAUGGCCUACCAAGGCGGCGACGGGUAGCCGGACUGAGAGGUUGGUCGGCCACAUUGGGACUGAGAUACGGCCCAGACUCCUACGGGAGGCAGCAGUGGGGAAUAUUGCACAAUGGGCGCAAGCCUGAUGCAGCGACGCCGCGUGGGGGAUGACGGCCUUCGGGUUGUAAACUCCUUUCGCCAGGGACGAAGCGUUUUGUGACGGUACCUGGAGAAGAAGCACCGGCUAACUACGUGCCAGCAGCCGCGGUAAUACGUAGGGUGCAAGCGUUGUCCGGAAUUACUGGGCGUAAAGAGCUCGUAGGUGGUUUGUCACGUCGUCUGUGAAAUUCCACAGCUUAACUGUGGGCGUGCAGGCGAUACGGGCUGACUUGAGUACUGUAGGGGUAACUGGAAUUCCUGGUGUAGCGGUGAAAUGCGCAGAUAUCAGGAGGAACACCGAUGGCGAAGGCAGGUUACUGGGCAGUUACUGACGCUGAGGAGCGAAAGCAUGGGUAGCAAACAGGAUUAGAUACCCUGGUAGUCC
rnacentral:rRNA from 1 species